ACUACGGCAAGCAGCCCGGAUAGUGAAGAUGGCAACAACUAGCUUUGUCGGUUUUGCUUGAUGCAUGUGAAAAGUCUUCAUUUGAAAGUUUGCUAAGCAACAAAUCCUUCAAAUAGAACAGCUUCAACUCUGCUCUGCCUUGAAAGCACACAUUCAUGAAGAAACUGGAGAGCUGCUUCAUCAGUGCCAAUCCAGUCUGUGGCUGGUCUCAUGAAAAGGCUCUUAUUGAUUAAUUAGUGCAGCUACCCUCCCAGACAUGGAAGAAUACCUCAUACAAAAAAAUCCAUAG
rnacentral:lncRNA from 1 species